GGGGCAUGCUCAUGGGUUAAAUUCACUUGUUUGUUUUUCCUUUUUUGGGGGGCCGCAUUCGAGAGACUUGGAAGGUCCCUGGGCCAGGGAUUGAAUCAGAGCCGCAUGGGCGACCUACGCCACAGCUGAGGUAACACGGGACCCUUAACCCACUGCAGCACAGCGGGAACUCCCUGCUGCACGUCUCUGAGCCACACUGUCUUCCUUGAGGAGGCGCUGCUGAGGGUGACGGAGACCCCCCUACUGGAGGUGCCACUGAGGUGUGGCAGGGAGGGGGCAUCCAUCCGUCUGUCCCCAGGCCUCGGACCCUGGUGCCUGAGAGACACGGAUGCUGCAAGACUCCAUCUCCAGCACCACCACUGCUGCGCUCAGACCCUGGGGCUCUGUCAGGAGUCUGCCCUGCACGGCUUUUAUCAAAACAUCCAAAACUAGGCCAGAGACAAGGCCAGGGAACCUGCAGCCCUCGGGCCACUCCAGGCCGCCUACCAGGUUCUGGCAGAGCUGCCGGGCGGGAAGUGGACCCCGCGGGCACUUUCGAGCCUCUGCACCCCAGCGUCCCUUCUGCUGCUGAAAGAGUUCUCCACAGAGCGCUGCUGGAGUCCGGGAGCCUGGAGUCUGUGAACCUGGAUGAGAAAACAGUCACAUCCAUAUCGGCACCGACUAAAUUCAGCAUCGCCCUGCCUUGUGAAUGUGAGCAGCAAAACCCAGUGAGGUCUGUGGUUUUGCCACCGACGUUAUCAACCACAAACCCUACUGGGUUUCCGAACAUCCUACCUUUAUUGCAGAAAUUUCAGGAUGGCAUUUGGACUCAAAUCACGGUAGUUCUUAAAUCCACCACUAGGUAUUCUUUUAAAUGUGCUAAGAAGAAGUUGGAGUUCCCUGGUGGCCUAGCUGGUUAGGGAUCCUGCAUUAUCACUGCUGUAGCUGGGUUAGAUUCCUGGCCUGGGAGUGUCUGCAGGCUGCUGGCCAAAAAAAAAGAAGAAGAAGGAGAAAAGGAAGAGGAAGGGGAAGAAAAGAAGAAGAGGCAUGUAUAUUAAAAAAUAGUUUGACAAAUUUCAGUGCAUUUGGCUUCCUUUAUAAUCCUACGUAUUUUGCUAUUUUGCAUUGUGCAUUUAAAAACAUGAUCCUGAGAAGGGGUGUCAAAAGCCUAGUUAAUUUUUUUUUUUUUUUUUUGGCUGUGCCCAAGGCAGGUGGAAGUUCCCCGGCCAGGGACUGAAUCUGAGCCACGACAGUGACCCAAGCCACCGCAGUGAAAAUGCUGGAUCCUUAACCUGCUGCACCACAAGAACACUCAAAAGCCUAGUUGAGGUAAUGCUGGGGAGCUGAUAUUCUGGAGCGCUGGCAGUCAUUUUGUGACUCUGAGGGUAAAGCUGACUCAGUGAGAAGGGCAGACUGAGGAGUGGGGGAAGUUCCAGGGUCCUUUCCCAGCUAUGACCAGAAUUAACCAACCGGGGAAAGUCCCCUCUUCUGGGCUUAUUUCUUGCUGUAACACAUGGCCUCGUUGUUUAGCCAGUUGAGUCAGGG
rnacentral:lncRNA from 1 species